rnacentral:rRNA from 1 species
GAUGAACGCUGGCGGCGUGCCUAAUACAUGCAAGUCGAGCGAACGGACGAGAAGCUUGCUUCUCUGAUGUUAGCGGCGGACGGGUGAGUAACACGUGGAUAACCUACCUAUAAGACUGGGAUAACUUCGGGAAACCGGAGCUAAUACCGGAUAAUAUUUUGAACCGCAUGGUUCAAAAGUGAAAGACGGUCUUGCUGUCACUUAUAGAUGGAUCCGCGCUGCAUUAGCUAGUUGGUAAGGUAACGGCUUACCAAGGCAACGAUGCAUAGCCGACCUGAGAGGGUGAUCGGCCACACUGGAACUGAGACACGGUCCAGACUCCUACGGGAGGCAGCAGUAGGGAAUCUUCCGCAAUGGGCGAAAGCCUGACGGAGCAACGCCGCGUGAGUGAUGAAGGUCUUCGGAUCGUAAAACUCUGUUAUUAGGGAAGAACAUAUGCGUAAGUAACUGUGCACAUCUUGACGGUACCUAAUCAGAAAGCCACGGCCAACUACGUG